rnacentral:rRNA from 1 species
GAUGAACGCUGGCGGCGUGCCUAAUACAUGCAAGUCGAGCGAACGGACGAGAAGCUUGCUUCUCUGAUGUUAGCGGCGGACGGGUGAGUAACACGUGGAUAACCUACCUAUAAGACUGGGAUAACUUCGGGAAACCGGAGCUAAUACCGGAUAAUAUUUUGAACCGCAUGGUUCAAUAGUGAAAGACGGUCUUGCUGUCACUUAUAGAUGGAUCCGCGCUGCAUUAGCUAGUUGGUAAGGUAACGGCUUACCAAGGCAACGAUGCAUAGCCGACCUGAGAGGGUGAUCGGCCACACUGGAACUGAGACACGGUCCAGACUCCUACGGGAGGCAGCAGUAGGGAAUCUUCCGCAGUGGGCGAAAGCCUGACGGAGCAACGCCGCGUGAGUGAUGAAGGUCUUCGGAUCGUAAAACUCUGUUAUUAGGGAAGAACAUAUGUGUAAGUAACUGUGCACAUCUUGACGGUACCUAAUCAGAAAGCCACGGCUAACUACGUG